GCCUGGGUGGCUCAGUCGGUUAAGUAUCCGACUUCGGCUCAGGUCACGAUCUCGCGGUUUGUGGGUUCGAGCCCCGCAUCAGGCU
rfam:Felis catus isolate Cinnamon breed Abyssinian chromosome B2, whole genome shotgun sequence.